CUACGGGUCGCACCAGUGAGGAAUAUUGCACAAUGGGGGGAACCCUGAUGCAGCAACGCCGCGUGGAGGAUGACGCAUUUCGGUGUGUAAACUCCUUUUAUAUGUCAAGAAAAUGACGGUAGCAUAUGAAUAAGCACCGGCUAACUCCGUGCCAGCAGCCGCGGUAAUACGGAGGGUGCAAGCGUUACUCGGAAUCACUGGGCGUAAAGGACGCGUGGGCGGGUUGGAAAGUCAGGUGUGAAAUCCUGCAGCUUAACUGUAGAACUGCACUUGAAACUUCUAAUCUAGAGUAUGGGAGGGGGAGAUGGAAUUAGUGGUGUAGGGGUAAAAUCCGUAGAUAUCACUAGGAAUACCUAAAGCGAAGGCGAUCUCCUGGAACAUUACUGACGCUAAGGCGUGAAAGCGUGGGGAGCAAACAGGAUUAGAUACCCGGGUAGUC
rnacentral:rRNA from 1 species